GAUUUAAACUGAGCCAUACGUUUACCUGAGAAUGCCAAUAUAUGCUAAUAUUUUUUUUGGAUAAAUCAGAUGGCAUAUACUCAACUAGUAUUAAUACAUUUAAUAAAAUUAAAAAAUAAAAUAUCUCUAAAUUGUAGAGAAAUACUAGAAUAUGAUGUCUAUCUUAGAAUGCCGCACAUGUAUUUUUUUUUUAUUGUUUGGAUAAAUCGGAUGGCUCA
rnacentral:lncRNA from 1 species